rnacentral:rRNA from 1 species
AGCUAGUUGGUGGGGUAACGGCCUACCAAGGCGACGAUACGUAGCCGACCUGAGAGGGUGAUCGGCCACACUGGAACUGAGACACGGUCCAGACUCCUACGGGAGGCAGCAGUAGGGAAUCUUCCGCAAUGGGCGAAAGCCUGACGGAGCAACGCCGCGUGAGUGAUGAAGGUCUUCGGAUCGUAAAGCUCUGUUGUUAGGGAAGAACAAAUGUGUAAGUAACUGUGCACAUCUUGACGGUACCUAACCAGAAAGCCACGGCUAACUACGUGCCAGCAGCCGCGGUAAUACGUAGGUGGCAAGCGUUAUCCGGAAUUAUUGGGCGUAAAGCGCGCGUAGGCGGUUUUUUAAGUCUGAUGUGAAAGCCCACGGCUCAACCGUGGAGGGUCAUUGGAAACUGGAAAACUUGAGUGCAGAAGAGGAAAGUGGAAUUCCAUGUGUAGCGGUGAAAUGCGCAGAGAUAUGGAGGAACACCAGUGGCGAAGGCGGCUUUCUGGUCUGCAACUGACGCUGAUGUGCGAAAGCGUGGGGAUCAAACAGGAUUAGAUACCCUGGUAGUCCACGCCGUAAACGAUGAGUGCUAAGUGUUAGGGGGUUUCCGCCCCUUAGUGCUGCAGCUAACGCAUUAAGCACUCCGCCUGGGGAGUACGGUCGCAA